rnacentral:rRNA from 1 species
CCUACGGGAGGCAGCAGUGAGGAAUAUUGGUCAAUGGGCGGGAGCCUGAACCAGCCAAGCCGCGUGAGGGAAGAAGGUACAGCGUAUCGUAAACCUCUUUUGUCAGGGAACAAAGGCGGGGACUAGUCCCCGGAUGAGGGUACCUGAAGAAAAAGCAUCGGCUAACACCGUGCCAGCAGCCGCGGUAAUACGGAGGAUGCGAGCGUUAUCCGGAGUUAUUGGGUUAAAGGGGUGCGCAGGCGGCCUGUUAAGUCAGCGGUAAAAGCCCGGGGCUCAACCCCGGCGAGCCGUUGAAACUGGCGGGCUUGAGUUGGAGAGAAGUACGCGGAAGGCGCGGUGUAGCGGUGAAAUGCUUAGAUAUCGCGCAGAACCCCGAUUGCGAAGGCAGCGUACCGGCUCCACACUGACGCUGAGGCACGAAAGCGUGGGUAUCGAACAGGAUUAGAUACCCUGGUAGUC